CCUUCAAUAGCUCCGCUGGUAGAGCAGAGGACUGUAGGUCUAAUCAAGCAAUCCUUUGGUCGCUGGUUCAAUUUCAGCUCAAAGGG
rnacentral:tRNA from 1 species